UACGUAGGGACCGAGCGUUGUUCGGAAUUAUUGGGCGUAAAGGGUGCGUAGGCGGUUUGGUAAGUCUUAUGUGAAAUCUACAGGCUCAACUUGUAGUCUGCAUGAGAAACUGCCGGGCUUGAGUAUGGGAGAGGUGAGUGGAAUUCCUGGUGUAGCGGUGAAAUGCGUAGAUAUCAGGAGGAACACCUGUGGCGAAAGCGGCUCACUGGACCAUAACUGACGCUGAUGCACGAAAGCUAGGGGAGCAAACAGG
rnacentral:rRNA from 1 species